AAUUAUGUACCGGAGGUGAACUCUUUGAUCGGAUUGUUAAGAGGGGGCAUUACUCCGAGAGACAGGCUGCUGAGCUUGCAAGAACAAUAGUUGGUGUGGUAGAAGCUUGCCAUUCUCUUGGAGUCAUGCAUCGGGACCUAAAACCUGAAAAUUUUCUAUUUGUCAAUGAGGAAGAGAAUUCACCUCUUAAGACUAUAGAUUUUGGGCUAUCUGUAUUCUUCAAGCCAGGUUUCUCUUGGAGUCAUGCAUCGGGACCUUAAGCCUGAAAAUUUUCUAUUUGUCAAUGAGGAAGAGAAUUCACCUCUUAAGACUAUAGAUUUUGGGCUAUCUGUAUUCUUCAAGCCAGGUAUGUGUUCAUUUCCCUUCAUAUUCUUUCAUUUUAUUUCCACACAUUUUUGGUUGCAUCGAAAUAACAACUUCUUCUGCAAAUAGAAACGAUUUUGUAGAUUGAAGUAGCUAGGAACUAGAAAUGUUUCAUGUGUUUCAGUUUCUGUUGUUUACCAGAAUGGCUUAUACCAACUUCUGAGGUCAUUGAUUUAUUUGGCAGAGAAAUCAUAGAAGGCUUCCAUGUAAAGCUGCAAAAUUCAUUUUCAAUGAAGCUCUACGGAUAAAAUAAGAGUGGAAAUGUUCUUCGCUUAGAUAACAAUUUUGUAGUUCAGUCUGUACCAUUUCCCCAGAUAAUAUAGCUAACGUUUUAACAUUUAAUUUUUCUGACCCUGAAUUGAGACAUAUAGUUUGGUUCUCCUAGUUGAAAUCUGAUUUCUGGCCGUACCUGGUGGGUGAUCAAAUGAAAAAAAAUUCAGGAAAAAAAAGAAUUUUUAGCUAGUACAUACAAUUUAAAUCAGCUCUUGUAAUCUACAGAGAGAGACACACAAUGCUAAUAAUGUAGAAGGAUAAUUGAGGAUAUCCGUUCUUGAUGUAAUAAAAGGCUGUUGAUGUGCGAACAAAAUACCACAUUGGUAGCUGAAAAGAUUGGAAGUCCACAUAUAAGGUGUAGGGAUCUCUUAAUGGUUUGAGGCCUGUUGAGAAAAAUCAUGCAGGCUUGGCCCAAAGCGAACAAUAUCAUACCAUGUUCAGAGUAUCUUCGGGCCAUUUUAUCCCAACAAAGGCAAUGCAUCCUUAGCUAGCUCAUAAUUGCAACUACCUCUAAGUUUAUAUUUGUAGAUUAUGGUCAAGUCCAAGAUGCUGUGGAAUGGGGAGGGAUCACAUUACUCUAAAUGAGCAGUACUCUGACUAACUUUAUUGAAAUGUUCAGUCUUUACGGACCGACAAGGUGGGUUGCUUUGAUGGUGAGUACCAUCUACUUCCAACCAAGAGCUUGUGAGUUCGAGUCACCCCAAGAGUAAGGUGGGGAUUCCUUGGAGGGAAGGACACCGAGAGUCUAUUGGAAGCAGCCUCUCUAUCCUCCCCAGACCCUACUAGUGGGAUUAUACUGGGUUGUUGUUGUUGUAGUCUUUACGGACC
rnacentral:lncRNA from 1 species